ACGCGUAUGCAAUCUGCCUUCCACAGAGGGAUAGCCCAGAGAAAUUUGGAUUAAUACCUCAUAGCAUCAUGACCCGGCAUCGGGAUAUGAUUAAAGUCACAACGGUGGAAGAUGAGCAUGCGUCCCAUUAGCUAGUUGGUAAGGUAACGGCUUACCAAGGCUACGAUGGGUAGGGGUCCUGAGAGGGAGAUCCCCCACACUGGUACUGAGACACGGACCAGACUCCUACGGGAGGCAGCAGUGAGGAAUAUUGGUCAAUGGGCGCAAGCCUGAACCAGCCAUGCCGCGUGCAGGAUGACGGUCCUAUGGAUUGUAAACUGCUUUUGUACGGGAAGAAACCCUCCUACGUGUAGGAGCUUGACGGUACCGUAAGAAUAAGGAUCGGCUAACUCCGUGCCAGCAGCCGCGGUAAUACGGAGGAUCCAAGCGUUAUCCGGAAUCAUUGGGUUUAAAGGGUCUGUAGGCGGUCUUGUAAGUCAGUGGUGAAAGCCCAUCGCUCAACGGUGGAACGGCCAUUGAUACUGCUGGACUUGAAUUAUUGGGAAGCAACUAGAAUAUGUAGUGUAGCGGUGAAAUGCUUAGAGAUUACAUGGAAUACCAAUUGCGAAGGCAGGUUGCUACCAAUGGAUUGACGCUGAUGGACGAAAGCGUGGGUAGCGAA
rnacentral:rRNA from 1 species